GCGGGCGUAGUUCAUUGGUAGAAUGGAAGCUUCCCAAGCUUCAGAGGCGGGUCCGAUUCCCGUCGCCCGCUCCA
rnacentral:tRNA from 5 species